CCUCACAGAAGCCACUCCACCUGCACUGUACCUCUAGGAGCAAGUUCCAGAAGGGACACGAUGAGAACAGUAACCUCAGUAAGGAAGAGAGCAGGGAAGUAGGUUGAUGCCUCCUUCGGAGCAUGCUGUGGCUCCUGUCUGCCUCUCUCCAAGGCCAAUUGCUCAGUGCCACAGGGCAACUCCGAGACUGCUGAAUGGGGAGGAAAUAAGAUAAGUACCAGAUGCGGACAACCCAGGGCAGUGCCAAGGAGCAAUGGCCCUGUUUAGAUCUGCCCAGGGCCCCGCCAGGCUGUGUCACAUGAGGCAAAGCAGAGACGAACCAGAAAAAAAGUGACUUGCUGCAAUAUGCUUGAGCAGCUGGGGCUGGCUGCCAGAGGCAUGGGAUGCCGUCCACCCCACAGGCCCACAACGGGGAUUCCUCUAGGGUCAGCUGAGCUUAAGGGCAAAGGACCUCAUUUGGAGCAGCUUCCCUCUGCCCUCACUCACAGCACUGACCCGGAGCAGAGGACACAACUCCGGAGGUGCCCUGUCACCUUCCGGCCACCCUCCUAGGCGUGGCCUCCCCGAGAGUUCUCCUCCACAAGAAGGUCAGACGUCUCUACCAAAAUGCAAAAUAGGCAGAUGGCCCUGCAGCUCUUGGAUAAAUAUGAAUAAGCACUGCCAAGCUUACUGCAAACUACCCACCAAUCUGCUAAGUCCCCAUAAACACAAAUCACUCUGUGUUCACUAGGGUGUCGUCUUGCCUACAGGACCUGAGCCAGACCAGUGUGCAUCUCAAACAUCAACAAGAGUUUUGUACAAGUAAAUCCAAGCCUUGACAACUACAGUCUGAAGACAUAAUGGUCCACAAGGUCCUUUUCUGCACUUGUUUUUCUAUUUUGUGACCCCAAUCGUUUCCCAAGUAAAGUGUUACCUGAAGUUCUGCCAACAUUUAUCACAAGCAACCCUUAGCUCAGAGAUAUUGGAUUAGGGUCAUUUAGUCAAGGAGGCAUAAGGCCAUAAUUUAAGCUACACAGGUUCAGAGGGUGUUGACUUGUAAGAAGAGAUCCAGACUCAUUAAUUUUUAAAAGAACAGCAGAAAGAACAGGAAGAUCCUGGUGAGGUAAAGAAUGUGCUCUGUCAGUGUGCAUGGUUUCUCUGGUUUAUACAAAGUUCUCUAAAAUGUUUUCUGGAGUCCAUGUGGCAGGAUUAAAUAAGCUAGUGUGGCUCGCAUGUGAGGUGGAUUCCUAAGCAAUCCAGAAAAAUGGAAGUAGCAAGAGCAGGAGGGGUGCCUGGAGACCUGAAUCCCUCAUAGCUCCCAAUAAUGAGGGUCCAAGGUGUACACCAAAGCCACCUGGGUUUCUACGAUUUAUCUUCUGUAUAAACAAGUUCUUAAAUGCCCUCCAAAAACUAAACCAAGACCCUCUGUAAUGCCUUCGGGAGGCAGAUAACAUGUAGGUAUGUGAAGGCAACAACAGAAGUGGAAGCCCUCGGCUCAGGUCCAAAUGCAACUGUCUGGGUGGAGAAAGCCAAUUAAAGGUGGGCAAGGCUGACCAACCCGUCCCAGAAGAGA